rnacentral:rRNA from 1 species
AGCGAACGCUGGCGGUAGGCCUAACACAUGCAAGUCGAACGGCAGCACAGUAAGUGCUUGCUCUUACGGGUGUCGCGUGGCGGACCGGUGCGGUAUACAUCGGAAUCUACUCUUUCGUGGGGGCUAACGUAGGGAAACUUCCGCUAAUACCGCAUUUGACCUACGGGUGUAAGCAGGCGUUCUUCGGACUUUGCGCGAUUGAAUGAGCCGAUGUCGGCUUAGCUAGUUGGCUGGGUAGAGGGCCACAAAGGCGACGAUCCGUAGCUGGUCUGAGAGGAUGAUCAGCCACACGGGAACUGAGAAACGGUCCAGACUCCUACGGGAGGCAGCGGUGGGGAAUAUUAGGCGAUGCGCGCAAGCCGGAUACAGCAAUACCGCGUGGGGGAAGAACGCCUUCGGGUUGGAAAGCCCUGAUGUUGGGAAAGAAAAACAGCAGGUUAAUACCCCACGAUUCUGACGGUACCCAAAGAAUAAGCACCGGCUAACUUCGUG